GAGGCUAAUUUGUAUAAAUAAACAAUGUAAAAGAAACUAUAAUCAAAUUAUUUAGUGCUAAAGUUACCUACUAUAUAUGAAAAUCUCAAUUCACAGCCACAUCUAACCUACAAUUACGACUAGGAGGCGGAAAAAACAGAUUUGAGGGAACAGUAGAAGUGUUUUAUAACAACACAUGGGGAUAUGUCUGCGAUGAUGGAUGGUCCCAAAUUAACGCCGAAGUGGUCUGUCACAUGUUGGGGUAUCAAAGACCUGGCGCCAAAGCAGUGAGUGGCAAUGGAUUUAAAACGAACCACGUUUACGACUACCUACUCGACGAUGUCUCCUGUACAGCAUAUGUGUUGACCCUAACGAGUUGUUCACAUGCUGGAUGGGGUAAACAUAACUGUAAGCCCGAAGAGAAGGCGGGUGUUAUUUGUGCAAACGAGUGUGGCGGAACACAUUUUGGUCUAAAUUGCAAAAAUAAUUGUUCUUCGCAAUGUUCUCAAACUGUUUGUGACUCUAAAACUGGACGUUGCAAGACAUGUAUUCCAGGCUUUAAAGGUCAAUUUUGUGACAUACCCUGUGACGGAACUCAUUUUGGACCAAAUUGCACAGAAAAUUGUUCUUCGCAAUGUUCUCAAACUGUUUGUGACUCUAAAACUGGAAGUUGCUUGGCAUGUAUACCAGGCUUUGAUGGCGACUUUUGCGACAUACGUAAGUAUAGAGAGACAUCUAUUUAAAGAAAUGUUACA
rnacentral:sRNA from 1 species